rnacentral:rRNA from 1 species
UACAGGGGGUGCAAACGUUGCUCGGAAUCAUUGGGCGUAAAGCGCACGUAGGCGGUUCGUUAUGUCGGAUGUGAAAGCCCUUGGCUUAACCGAGGAAGUGCAUCCGAAACUGGCGAGCUAGAGUACGAAAGAGGAUCGCGGAAUUCCCGGUGUAGAGGUGAAAUUCGUAGAUAUCGGGAGGAACACCGGUGGCGAAGGCGGCGAUCUGGGUCGAUACUGACGCUGAGGUGCGAAAGCGUGGGGAGCAAAC